GUCUGUUUGUGCGUCUGCGCGGCAGCCUGCCCCAGCCCGCAGUUCGUUUAUCCGUCCGCCAGCCAUACGUCGUCUGUAACUGGGCUAGCCAAGCGGCCGGUUGCUCUAUGAAAGAGCCGCAGCAGCAGCAGCAGCAGCAGCAGCAGCAGCAGCAGCGGUAGUCGCAUCAACAGCGGUCGAUUGAUGUAGAGUACCGUGGAGCGCCGCAUAGUGAGUGGAACGAAGAGGUUCGCUUGUUUGAUCGGUCUAUCAUCGCUCGCUCUGUCGGCCUAGAGUAGUUGCAGGUCCGUCGGUACCCGUGCGUUCGUCACUUGCACUCGUUUGCCGCUACUUCUACGGCGGCUGCUGCUGCUGCUGUUGGCUAUCGCUGCUUUACCACUACCGCUUUGUCAGUUCAGACUACUCUAUUAUUGCCGUUGCUGGAGUGGAGGCGGCACUGACGGUCGUCGUCGCGGGUUGCGCGUCUACUGCUGUUUCUACUGUACCACCCGCGUUGCACAGUAGAAUGGAUCGAGUGAGUUGAACUCGAUGGUGUUGAAUGGUUCACUGGUUGCGGGCCGAUGCCGACGCUGAAAUCCAUCGAGGAACAUGUAAAGAUUGCCAGUGUGGCCAAAGGAAGCCGGGGGGGGGGGGGAGGCAACAGCCCCAGCGGAGCCGCUAAUAGCACCAUUAAAUACAAGGGCUAGCAGGAACUUCAAACGAAAGAGAAUAGCAGCAAGAUAACAGAAAUAGACGAAGCUCGAUACGAUGACGCUGGUUCACCGUUGAUAGUUGCAAGUGGGGCCGACUAUGGCAGUGCCGUCACGAUGACGCGACUAAUGACGAUUAUAUUUUUAUUCUGUAUUAACAUACUAUAACUGUGUUUACUAGCCGAUUCUGGAAUAUGGAGUACGUGCAGUGGUAUAGUGCGUUCGCGAUCAUUGAGCGUCGGCCGUAACAUAGUAUACGCAUGUGUGUGUUAUUAUGAGAUGGCGGCAAUGGCGUGGCCAGCGAGUGACCAAGUUCGAACGAUCGAGAAGUUGGCCGUGAUCUUUGGCGAAGCAAAGAAUUUACCACCAAAGGGCAGCUGUAAUGCGGAUUCCGGUAGAGAUGUCUACUUUUCACUUCGGCUUGAUCAAGAAGAAAUCUACCGGACAACGGUGUUUGAGAAGACACUCAAUCCUUUUAUUGCGGAACAGUUUCGUUGCGACAUCCCGCGUGACUUUCACCUGCUUAACAUCUACGUCAAUGAACGUGAAAAGGUUUCUAAUAAGGACAAAGUUAUCGGACGGGUGAGCCUUAGUCGCGGCGAUAUCCUCAAGUUUCACGCCAAAGAACACUGGUUCAACAUUGAUCCGGUCGACGCUGACUCGGAGGUUCAAGGCAAAAUACAUUUAUUUGUGGCUCUUCAGCAUUUCCAUGAAGGUCUUCAGUUGUCUACGAUUCGACCGGUCUCUAUGGUAGAGCUAUUUCGAGCCGGUAUUGAAACUCGAUUGGUGCUUCGCAUCGCCGAGUGCUGCGAUCUCAAUACGGUCCGAGGAUACUGUGAUCCUUAUGCCGUAGUUAUACUGUACAGAGAUGGGGUAAAAGUGGACCAGAAACGGACAAAGGUUUUAAGAAAAACGUCACGACCAUCGUUUGAAGAGACAUUUGACUUUUUGCUUCAGCACGACUGGGACAGAUUUGAAAUUAAGGUUUCGCUGUUCCAUGAUGUCCAAUUGGGUUCAAGCGUGUUUCUCGGCGAAGUACGACUAAAUUGUUCGGCAAUCGAGUUAAGGCAACAGGAACCACUGUCGGCGUGGUACUAUCUCGGACCUCGGGAAGAAUUUUCCCGGAAAAGUAACUCUCCCGAGCUAGGCGCGCUUCGUCUCAAUUUACAUUUUACCUCUGACACCGUAUUUCCGUCUGCCACAUAUGAGCAGCUGCGGCAGCUAAUUACAUCUAGUUGGCAAGUCCAACCAAUUACCUGUAGUGCUGCUUAUAUUAUCUCACAGCUGGUUCCGGCCGGUGGUAAGGAAGCGAUUACCCCCUUGGUACGCGUCCUUUGGGAAGCGAAACAAAUUGUUCGAUUCAUGCGAGCGGUCGCCGAACACGAGAUGCGACUGACGUCCGAUGCCACAACCCUGUUUCGGGGGAACUCGCUGUUGUCUCGGUGCGUAGAUGAGUUCAUGAAGCUUGUUGGUAUGAACUACCUCCAAAAUACACUACGUCCUCUCAUAGAUCGGGUGCUGGCUGAAAAAAAACCGUGCGAAAUCGAUCCGACAAAACUCACAGAUUCGACACGUCAGCUGCCGAUCAAUACGCACAAUUUAAAGGCGUACGCCGAUGAAGCUUUUGAGGCAAUCACGAAAAGCGCCGCGGACUGUCCGCCCGUACUUCGUGAGCUCUUUAACGCACUUAAACGUUUGGCAGCUAGACGAUUUCCGAAAAAUCCCCGAACUCAGUACUCAGUUGUGUCCGUGUUCGUAUUUUUGCGGUUCUUCGCCGCGGCGAUCCUCAACCCAAAGCUAUUUGACCUCUGUCCGCCUCAGCGGAGUGUUGAUCCACAGGCUAAUCGUACGCUGACAUUGAUUUCAAAAGUCGUACAGAGUGUCGGCAACCUGACAUCAAAGAACGUGGAGGCAUCCAAGGCCCGCCAGGGCGAACGACUCAACUUUGUACCUUACAAAGAGGAGUAUAUGUGGCGAUUUUAUUCGGCAUUUCUCAGUGAACAGCACCCUCAGCAGGUGGCUAGUUUUCUUGAGAUGAUCUCAUCUAACCUUUCAACGACUUUGACUACGUUACCCCGAGAGGUGAACUCGUCGAAUCCGCCUGUCGUCCUUAAACAGGGUACGCUGGCAAAACGCGCCCAGGGACGUAAUAAGCUCGGCUUGAAGCAAUUCAAAAAAAGACAUUUUUAUCUCACAGCGAAGGCUCUAUGCUAUUCAAAGAGUAAGGAUGUUACCCAACCACCCCAGGGUGAAAUUCCCCUAGAAGAAGUACUCGGCGUUGAACGGUUACGGGAGGAAGCGUUCAAGUUAAAUAAUGUUAUACAGGUUCUGCAGCCGUCGCGAAUUUUAUACAUCCAGUGUAACAACUGCGUAGAGGAACAGGACUGGCUGGAUAUUUUACGGAGACUAACGGUCAACAAUAGGAUAAAGGUUUCUACGUAUCAUCCAGAGGCGUUCGUUGCAAACGAGUGGCAAUGCUGCGGGCAACGUCAAGAAACAGACGCAGGCUGUACCCCAACGACGCGUGGACCUGAUCCCCAACUGGCUGCGCAAAUCGAUCUUGAUCGUGAACUGGAACGGCUUCAUUCCCUCGUCGUUUCAAACUCGCACAAUUUUAAGGCACUCAUGGACACCUGUGAUGAAAUUUUGACUUUGCAACAGCAACAGCAGCAUCUGCAUCUGCACCAUCAUUCACAGUCACAACAGCAAUCACAGCCACAACAGCAGUCACUUCACGCGGGCACGAUCGCAGGACUGAAUCCAUGGUCUGAUGACUUCACGUUGAGUUCGUCGUUCGAGGGCUCCGUUGCAAGUCAUUCGGGCGCCUCUUCAGUGCUCACCGACACCCUCAACAAUAACACGAACAACAAUAGUAGCACUACCGCUAAUAGUGGAAUCGUCUGUACUGGCUCUCAGCAACAUCAGUUAGAUAAUAAUGGGACAGUCGGUAAUCCUGACAGGGGUUCGCCCUAUAUCCAGGACGACAUGAACAGGACUAUGGAAGAUUUAAGCGCAAUGACAGUCGGUGGAGGACGGAAAACGUCUUUUGAAAUCGAUGACGCACGUUCGAUGAAAGUUGCCCUAAUGGCCUUAGCAAAAUGCACCAACGAGUUGGAAACUAGGCACCGGAAAUACAAAGACUACCAGAUUACUGGCGCCGUCCGAGGAACCAAACAAGCGCCGAUCAGCUUAGAAGACAACUAUAUAGUGAUGAUGAAGCCUGCAUCAAUAUCGUCUCAAAACAUACAUCAGUCGUUUUCGCGACGCUGAGCCAAUGGACUUUGACCGGCACACCGUUAGUUGACCGAGCAGCGAAGUACGAACUAAACGUAUAGGCCAUGAAAAGCGUUUAGUAAACUGGUUAAAAUUAUCCAUCGAUGGCAACGUUGGAUACAUAACGGACGAGAUAUGACACAUAACGAAUGAAGGUCUUGUGAUCCGAAAAUCAGCCAGUGCAUCGAAAUUUCACGUCAUCACAAUUGCAUCUUAUCGAAUCGUGGAGGAUCGAGGAAACGUUAAGGAAUGGCAAUAAUGAUAAGGAAGAUACAAAUAGAGGAACGAAGAUUAAAUAACGUGGUACUACUAUUCAUAGCAUUGGUUAGUCGGCAUAAAUAUUGAUAAUGACAUGAAGCCAAUUACGACGAGAUUCGUAGCCAUGUAUAUGGAAAAGGGAAGAGCACUGCACAAACCAAAUAUCACCCGGCCACCAGGGCGUUAUCCGACUUCUUGCCAUGUUAACUUAUUGAUGAAUUAAUUUCUAUCUGGCUUGUGAUUAACGCCAGCGAAAUUCACUGAAAGCACGGUAGAUAUACAAAAUAUUAACUUAUAUUUAUAUAGGAUCUAAGUUAAUUACACUGUUAAUUUGACCUAAGUCAACAACGACUCACCAUGACGCUAUCUCAACAAAGUUUAUGUGGGAGAAAGUGUUACAACCUCACAUCACGUUUCCGGGGGGUCCGGGUGUUCACGUAUAGCUUUAUGCUCGUCCGGUUGAAACAUCUGACAUCGUAUCUGUUUUCCAAUCGAACACUGUAUGAAGUACGCCGACAGAAAAGAUAUAAAGAAAGAAAAGAAGGAGUGCCAAUUCAAUCAAUACGAUUCCAGUGAAAUAGAUCAUUCAACGGCUAUGGACAAGUACAAACUAAUGACGACCGUGCUUCAUCAAAUAGGACGACAUAUAUUUAAAACAGUGUGUAUUUUAUUUCUUACAAAUAUAGUGUAACAGUAUGACGAGCGCCCGAAAUGGCAGUCGAGCAAAUCAGCUUUGUUGUCGCUGCUUAGUUGAGUGGACGACCCAGUGUUCGUUUGUUGUUGUUUUAUUCAUCCCUUUAUUAAAUAGACUUGACAAUGGCAAAACGUAUUUAUAUCGCUGUUAAAUAAUCUUUUUAGUUCUAACCCUGCUCUCUAUACGACAUGUUGUGAUCUACCCCACCUUUAACGUCGUUCCCGCUCAUUGAAUAGCACCCAACAGCGGCUUGCUUAAUUAAACAAUCAUUGAGAGCUUCGAAUCAUCGUUCGGUGCCAUGAGCUUUCGACGAGUCGUCUCGGGCUAGUUUUACAUAACGGUACGUUUUACGAUUCGGUGACCUAAAAGGCGGACCAGAUAUUCAACCGCUCUUUACUAGAACCAUUGUGGAUUUACAGAAUUGUACGCGGGCCUCGAAGCGCCAUUUUUGUAAUAGGUGUAGCACAAAUCUUCAAACGCGAGGAAGCUUUUAUCUCAUUCGAAUCGUCAAGCGUGGUCAGAACACGUAGUUGAAUCUUUUUACGAGCAUAAACAGAACACUUCUAUUUGAGUUAAUAACGACUGUAUGGCUUUAGACGGCUGGAAGCCUAAAAACGUAACGGCGAGUGGUUCGUCUAAAGUGGUAACUUAGUAACCCAACUAGAAUAAUGCCGUUUUUUCCCAAUAUCAUUUGACAAUAUGUUUAACAUAUACAAAGAGUAUAACAGCAUUAGUAAAAAGAUUGUAUUUGGGUUACGUAACAGGAAAUAUCAAACAAAAACAAUAGGAGAUCGAAGCGACAUCCACGAGCGGUGUGCAUCUUGCACUCUAUCGAAUACGCCUUUACUAUUUGCAGGGUACUUCGUAUUUUUCGACUUAAGGAGGAUAGCCUUAAUGGAACACCACUCAGUAUGAAGUAGGUUAUACGCGAGAACCAUGAUUCAUAUUAACCAAAAGACGCCAUAUACCUGUGUAUACAGUCAAUUUCCAGCAGUCCACAUAAGAGCAACAUAAACCACAUAGAGCAGAAAUAAAAAUAUUACCAAUUAUAUGGACUUCGAUGAUAUAAUGCGGCACGGUUUUUCCAAAAAAAUGGGCAGUAUUAUAGCAGAAAUAAACUUCUUAAUAAAAGUAUUAAAUUACAUUUUUAGAAAAUCAA